rnacentral:sRNA from 1 species
UCAUCUCAUAGUGGGACGGGUGUCUC